rnacentral:rRNA from 1 species
UACAGAGGGGGCAAGCGUUGUUCGGAAUUACUGGGCGUAAAGGGCGCGUAGGCGGCCUGCUAAGUCGAACGUGAAAUCCCCGGGCUCAACCCGGGAACUGCGUCCGAUACUGGCAGGCUUGAAUCCGGGAGAGGGAUGCGGAAUUCCAGGUGUAGCGGUGAAAUGCGUAGAGAUCGGAAGGAACGUCAAUGGCGAAGGCAGCCACCUGGCUUAAUACUGACGCUGAGGCGCGAAAGCGUGGGGAGCGAACAGG